ACCCCGCACAAGCGGUGGAUCAUGUUGUUUAAUUCGAUGAUACGCGAAGAACCUUACCAGGUCUUGACAUCCCCCGCGAUGCUUUAGAGAUAAAGCGGAGGUAUUCGGGGAGACAGGUGGUGCAUGGUUGUCGUCAGCUCGUGUCGUGAGAUGUUGGGUUAAGUCCCGCAACGAGCGCAACCCUAUUGCUAGUUACCAUCAUUAAGUUGGGGACUCUAGCGAGGCUGCCAGUGAUAAACUGGAGGAAGGUGGGGAUGACGUCAAAUCAUCAUGCCCCUUAUGACCUGGGCUACAAACGUGAUACAAUGGCUGGAACAAAGGGAUGCGAAGCAGUGAUGUGGAGCGAAACCCAUAAAAACAGUCUCAGUUCGGAUUGAAGUCUGCAACUCGACUUCAUGAAGUCGGAAUCGCUAGUAAUCGCGGAUCAGAACGCCGCGGUGAAUACGUUCUCGGGGUUU
rnacentral:rRNA from 1 species